AUGAACGCUAGCUACAGGCUUAACACAUGCAAGUCGAGGGGCAGCAUGGUCUUAGCUUGCUAAGGCCGAUGGCGACCGGCGCACGGGUGAGUAACACGUAUCCAACCUGCCGUCUACUCUUGGACAGCCUUCUGAAAGGAAGAUUAAUACAAGAUGGCAUCAUGAGUCCGCAUGUUCACAUGAUUAAAGGUAUUCCGGUAGACGAUGGGGAUGCGUUCCAUUAGAUAGUAGGCGGGGUAACGGCCCACCUAGUCUUCGAUGGAUAGGGGUUCUGAGAGGAAGGUCCCCCACAUUGGAACUGAGACACGGUCCAAACUCCUACGGGAGGCAGCAGUGAGGAAUAUUGGUCAAUGGGCGAGAGCCUGAACCAGCCAAGUAGCGUGAAGGAUGACUGCCCUAUGGGUUGUAAACUUCUUUUAUAAAGGAAUAAAGUCGGGUAUGGAUACCCGUUUGCAUGUACUUUAUGAAUAAGGAUCGGCUAACUCCGUGCCAGCAGCCGCGGUAAUACGGAGGAUCCGAGCGUUAUCCGGAUUUAUUGGGUUUAAAGGGAGCGUAGAUGGAUGUUUAAGUCAGUUGUGAAAGUUUGCGGCUCAACCGUAAAAUUGCAGUUGAUACUGGAUAUCUUGAGUGCAGUUGAGGCAGGCGGAAUUCGUGGUGUAGCGGUGAAAUGCUUAGAUAUCACGAAGAACUCCGAUUGCGAAGGCAGCCUGCUAAGCUGCAACUGACAUUGAGGCUCGAAAGUGUGGGUAUCAAACAGGAUUAGAUACCCUGGUAGUCCACACGGUAAACGAUGAAUACUCGCUGUUUGCGAUAUACGGCAAGCGGCCAAGCGAAAGCGUUAAGUAUUCCACCUGGGGAGUACGCCGGCAACGGUGAAACUCAAAGGAAUUGACGGGGGCCCGCACAAGCGGAGGAACAUGUGGUUUAAUUCGAUGAUACGCGAGGAACCUUACCCGGGCUUAAAUUGCAGAUGAAUUACGGUGAAAGCCGUAAGCCGCAAGGCAUCUGUGAAGGUGCUGCAUGGUUGUCGUCAGCUCGUGCCGUGAGGUGUCGGCUUAAGUGCCAUAACGAGCGCAACCCUUGUUGUCAGUUACUAACAGGUUCUGCUGAGGACUCUGACAAGACUGCCAUCGUAAGAUGUGAGGAAGGUGGGGAUGACGUCAAAUCAGCACGGCCCUUACGUCCGGGGCUACACACGUGUUACAAUGGGGGGUACAGAGGGCCGCUACCACGCGAGUGGAUGCCAAUCCCAAAAACCUCUCUCAGUUCGGACUGGAGUCUGCAACCCGACUCCACGAAGCUGGAUUCGCUAGUAAUCGCGCAUCAGCCACGGCGCGGUGAAUACGUUCCCGGGCCUUGUACACACCGCCCGUCAAGCCAUGGGAGCCGGGGGUACCUGAAGUGCGUAACCGCGAGGAGCGCCCUAGGGUAAAACUGGUGACUGGGGCU
rnacentral:rRNA from 1 species